UACGAACCGUCCAAACGUUAUUCGGAUUCACUGGGCUUAAAGGGUGCGUAGGCGGCUCAGAAAGUAGGGUGUGAAAGCCCUCGGCUCAACCGAGGAAUUGCGCCCUAAACUACUGGGCUUGAGGAACGCAGAGGUAAGCGGAACUUACGGUGGAGCGGUGAAAUGCGUUGAUAUCAUCAGGAAUACCGGAGGCGAAGGCGGCUCACUGGGGGUUUUCUGAUGCUGAGGAACGAAAGCCAGGGGAGCGAACGGG
rnacentral:rRNA from 1 species